rnacentral:rRNA from 1 species
UACGUAGGGGGCUAGCGUUGUCCGGAUUUAUUGGGCGUAAAGAGCGUGUAGGCGGCCAGGUAGGUCUGCUGUGAAAACUCGAGGCUCAACCUCGAGACGUCGGCGGAAACCAUCUGGCUAGAGUCCGGAAGAGGAGAAUGGAAUUCCCGGUGUAGCGGUGAAAUGCGCAGAUAUCGGGAAGAACACCCGUGGCGAAGGCGGUUCUCUGGGACGGUACUGACGCUGAGACGCGAAAGCGUGGGGAGCAAACAGG